AGCACAGGACGAGGGGAUCCUGUCCUCGGGCAGACGGGGCGCGGUGAGAGGUCCUGCCCGAUAAGCUCUAGGGGCUCGGGCUGCCUUCCCUCCCACGUGGAGACCCAGGGGCUACCUUUACCCCACUUCAGGGCACCCGAGCACCCUCAGCCGGAGUUGGGGCCGGCACCCUGAGCUCCAGCCGCCGCAACAGCUCUGAUCCCCAUGGGAGGCCACCCUUGGGUGCACCCCCCGGGUGUGUGUGUGUGAAGGUUGGUUGAGCUGCCGGGAACUCCUGCCAGGGUGGGGGAGUGAGAAGGGGAGUCACCACUCCUCCCCGCCCAGGGCCCUUCCCAAAGAGUCCUCUAAAUAAAGAGCUACGUAGGUGC